GUUUGAGGCAAUUAAAACCAUGAUGGGUAAACUAUGAAGAGGGAUGUCCUUAAAUUAACUUCAAAAUGCAGUAGUGGGCGAAUUAUGUGCAGUCAAAAUGCAGCGGUUGGAGAAUAACUGCCCAACAGGAUAAUGGUUAAUGACUCUGACUACCAUACCGAACGGCCCGGAUCGAAACCAGAGAAGGCAUGGAUGUUGCAAAUGUAUAGUGUCUUUGCAGCAUGGGGGCAGUCUGACUAUACUGUGAACCGAAAGUCCUCUAGAAUGGUUUGGGGACAAGGAAAGAGAGCUGGAACACUCUCGGUCCCUCCCCGGAUGCUGUCUCUCAAAACUGGGAUGGAACUAAGAGGAUGUGUUGUCACCUGUAAUGUGCUAAAACAUGUUGGCAACUGACAGACGCAAAAAAUUGCACUCCUUGCAACGAUAAUAUUCGUGGAUUUGGUUUGAAUAUGUUAGACAGAUGAGAUACAGCAACAACAAUAAAACGUUUUCAAUAGUC